GAUCGGCCCGCGUCUGAUUAGCUAGUUGGUGGGGUAAAGGCCCACCAAGGCGACGAUCGGUAGCUGUUCUGAGAGGAAGAUCAGCCACACUGGGACUGAGACACGGCCCACACUCCUACGGGAGGCAGCAGUUGGGAAUCUUGGACAAUGGGGGGAAACCCUGAUCCACCCAUGCCGCGUGAGUGAUGAAGGCCUUCGGGUUGUAAAACUCUUUCGACGGGGACGAUAAUGACCGUACCCGUAGAAGAAGCUCCGGCUGACUUCGUGCCAGCAGCCGCGGUAAUACGAAGGGGGCUAGCGUUGUUCGGAAUUACUGGGCGUAAAGCGUGCGCAGGCGGUCUUCCAAGUCAGUGGUGAAAGCCCGGAGCUCAACUCCGGAACUGCCAUUGAAACUGUGAGACUCGAGUACGAGAGAGGUGAGUGGAAUUCCCAGUGUAGAGGUGAGAUUCGUAGAUAUUGGGAAGAACACCGGUAGCGAAGGCCGCUCACUGGCUCGUAACUGACGCUCAGGCACGACAGCGUGGGGAUUAAACAGGAUUAGAUUCCCUGGUAGUCCACGCCGUAAACUUUUGGACCCUAGCCCGUUAGGCACCUUGCUUGCUUUAUGGCCCCAACUAACGCAAUUAGGCCGCCCCGCCCG
rnacentral:rRNA from 1 species